GACGAACGCUGGCGGCGUGCCUAAUACAUGCAAGUCGAACGCAGUGGGGACGGGUGAGUAACACGUGGGUAACCUCCCAUCAGAGGGGAUAACCCUUGGCAACAGGUGCUAAACCGAUACUGAUGGAUGAACCCGCGGUGCAUUAGCUAGUUGGUGAGGUAACGGCUCACCAAGGCCACGAUGCAUAGCCGGCCUGAGAGGGUGAUCGGCCACACUGGGACUGAGACACGGCCCAGACUCCUACGGGAGGCAGCAGUAGGGAAGAUUGGGCAAUGGACGAAAGUCUGACCGAGCAACGCCGCGUGAGUGAAGAAGGUUUUCGGAUCGUAAAACUCUUUUGGUAGAGAAGCGGUAUCUAACCAGAAAGCCACGGCUAACUACGUGCCAGCAGCCGCGGUAAUUC
rnacentral:rRNA from 1 species